CUACGGGGGGCACCAGGCGCGAAACCUUUACAAUGCACGAAAGUGUGAUAAGGGAAUCCAGAGUGCUUAGUUUUACUAGGCUUUUGCCAAGAGUAAAUAUCUUGGAGAAUAAGUGGUGGGAAAGACUGGUGCCAGCCGCCGCGGUAACACCAGCGCCACGAGUGGGAAUCCUUUUUAUUUGGCCUAAAGCGUCCGUAGCUGGGUAUGUAAAUCUCUUGUGAAAUUGUUCUGCUUAACAGAACAGCGUGCAGGAGAGACUGCAUAGCUAGGGACCGGGAGGAGUCAGAGGUAUGCUGUGUGGAGCGGUAAAAUGCUAUAAUCCUCGGUAGACCACCUGUGGCGAAGGCGUCUGACUAGAACGGGUCCGACAGUGAGGGACGAAAGCCAGGGGAGCAAACCGGAUUAGAUACCCGAGUAGUC
rnacentral:rRNA from 1 species